rnacentral:piRNA from 1 species
UAGACCCCAUAGAGGGCCGAGAGCCAGGAAGU